AAACCAACUGGGAUUACCUUAGUAACGGCGAGUGAAGCGGUAAAAGCUCAAAUUUGAAAUCUGGUACUUUCAGUGCCCGAGUUGUAAUUUGUAGAAUUUGUCUUUGAUUAGGUCCUUGUCUAUGUUCCUUGGAACAGGACGUCAUAGAGGGUGAGAAUCCCGUUUGGCGAGGAUACCUUUUCUCUGUAAGACUUUUUCGAAGAGUCGAGUUGUUUGGGAAUGCAGCUCAAAGUGGGUGGUAAAUUCCAUCUAAAGCUAAAUAUUGGCGAGAGACCGAUAGCGAACAAGUACAGUGAUGGAAAGAUGAAAAGAACUUUGAAAAGAGAGUGAAAAAGUACGUGAAAUUGUUGAAAGGGAAGGGCAUUUGAUCAGACAUGGUGUUUUUUAAAUGUGCAAGUCUCUCGUGGACAUGUGCCUCUGGAAAUUAACACUGGGCCAACAUCAGUUCUGGCGGCAGGAUAAAUCAUUAAGAAUGUAGCUACCUCGGUAGUGUUAUAGCUUUUUGGAAUACUGCCAAGUCGU
rnacentral:rRNA from 1 species